rnacentral:rRNA from 1 species
UACGAAGGGUGCAAGCGUUACUCGGAAUUACUGGGCGUAAAGCGCGCGCAGGCGGUCUUCCAAGUCAGUGGUGAAAGCCUGGAGCUCAACUCCAGAACUGCCAUUGAAACUGUUAGACUUGAGUACGAGAGAGGUGAGUGGAAUUCCCAGUGUAGAGGUGAAAUUCGUAGAUAUUGGGAAGAACACCGGUGGCGAAGGCGGCUCACUGGCUCGUAACUGACGCUCAGGCGCGACAGCGUGGGGAUCAAACAGG